GGUGGCUCAGUGGUAGAGCGCUUGCCUUGCAUGUUAGAGGCCCUGGGUUCAAUUCUUCAGCACCA
rfam:Dipodomys ordii contig_69520, whole genome shotgun sequence.